GCAAACUUGGUCAUUUAGAGGAAGUAAAAGUCGUAACAAGGUUUCCGUAGGUGAACCUGCGGAAGGAUCAUUAUCAAAAGUCAAGUCGGGGGCUGUAAAGCUCUCGUCCACACCCAUGUCUUUUGCGUACUCUUGUUUCCUCGGUGGCGCAAGCUGCCGAUUGGACAAACCAAAACCUUUUUUGUAAUUGCAAUCAGCGUCUGAAAAUAAUCUAAUUAUUUACAACUUUCAACAACGGAUCUCUUGGUUCUGGCAUCGAUGAAGAACGCAGC
rnacentral:misc_RNA from 1 species